rnacentral:lncRNA from 1 species
GUGCCUUAGUCGGUUAAGUGUCCGACUUGGCUCAGGUCAUGAUCUCACGGUUCAUGGGUUCAAGCCCCGCAUGGGCUCUGUGAUGACAGCUCAGAGCCUGGAACCUGCUUCAGAUUCUGUGUCUCCCUCUCUCUCUGCCCCUCCCCUGUUCACACUGUCUCUCUCUGUCUCUCAAAAAUAAAUAAAGGUAAAAAAAAAUUUUUUUAACAACAUGUCCUGCAACUGUUUAUACAAUACCUCGUUCCAGGGAGGUACAUGGCUAAUCAGGACACCUAUUUCCUACUGUCAUACUUAAUUGGAAGUUUUGCUCACGAGGUUAAAUUACAGCAAGCAUUGUGUGUCACUGUGAAAAUAUUCCCUUUCGCUUUAAUGGCACAUGGGUGGACGAAAAUGCUUCUAAGGCUGCCUGAAGGGACACUGGGCUCCUGUGGGUUCUUGCUGUCUUCCGCCAAUACUUUUUCAUUUUCCCUUAACAACGGCAGUAGUAAUAACAUUGGUCCAGGAAGUUAAGAAGUUAGUAGAGAAGAAUAAAGACCAAGCAUCUGAUAUUCACAACCUGACGCAACAGAAGAAUAUAAAUAUACACAAAUUAAUUUAAGCCCAUAGAAAAUCUCUCAAACGGUGUAGCCUACAGCACAUCUCCCCUUGUCCACAACAUUCCAUCAGGCCAGCGGAACAUCAUCAGCAUCAUUAUAGCUUGUAUAUACUGAGUGCUAACCCUGUGCCAGGCAUUGUGCCAAGGGUUGUCAUGACAACUCAACCCCGUAAGAAGAGUGCCAUCAUAAUUUCCAUUGUCAAAGGAACGGGAUGCACAUCUAGGACGCCUAACCUCAAGCCCAAGCUCAAGAGCACAGUGGGAGGAUUGAGGCUUGGAUGGAGAUGGAAUGCAUCGUUUUCAAUAUACUGUCUCAUUGCCAUCAUACUGUCUUCUAAGCCCUCCAUUACCUGCCCUCUGCUCGAGGGUAGAGACCAAAAGUGUGUGUUCGUACCACCAGCGUUCUGCAAAGCAGUUACGCACGAACAGAAAGUCCCGCGGACGCUCCAUGAUGAGUGGCACCUAAGCUGUCCGGUUCUUCGGGUUUUCCCAGCGCAGAGCCCGGUACUAGAAACUCCCAAGGGACUUACCUGCCUUGUGCAACGGAAUUCCCCGCACGCCCAGAGCCCAGCAGAGAGGAGGCACUCCAUACACGCCUUCCAACCACCAACUGCUGAAGGAGGCUCAGGUUAAGUCAUUCUCUUCAGGCUCCAGGACAAGCGGGCCCGGUUUGUAGGUUACAGCCUUAUCUGGGGACCCUCGUUUUCCACCCCAGCUACACGUCUGUGAACAAUCGCCUCUCUCCGGCCCCUGAAAGGAGAGCGAGCGCCCCAUUUCUGCUGAAUGCACACGUCUCAGUUCAUCCAAGGCUGGCGGGCUUUUGAUGGCCACAAUGCGAGUUACGCCCAAAGAGUGUCUCUUUGGUCAGAUCGACAACGCUUGGCUUCACGUUUGCAAGUUAAACGGGCAGAAACCCGGCUGAAACUCCCACGCCAGACGCCGGGGACGCUUCCCUCCGCCCAGUUCAGAGCGGCACUGGGGACUGGGUCUGGGCAGGGGGAAGAAGGGAGGGAGCGGGAGUUGUCAGGGGGCGGCGCGGGAAAACAGUCCUGAUUCUAAGCCGCCAUCUAGAAGAAAGGGGGGGGGGGCAGGGCCAUUUUCUCUAGUAUAUCCCUCUUGUUUUUAUUUUUAUUUUUUUCAGUUUGCUUUGUCGGCAGCUUUACCCCAACAAACAAACAAAAAAUGAGAGCGUUUUUCUGCUUGUCUUCACCUAGGUAGCUGCUUUCUUCCAGGCCCUGAAAAUGUGACUCCUUCAUAAAAUCAAAAUUUAUGAUUAUUCAAAUGUUGGGGACUGUGAAAAGAGAGGAAGAAAGAGAGAAAAUUAAUAUUGCAGCUGUUCUUCUGAUUAAUGAGAGAUAAUUGCUCAUGAAAAGUCACCCCUGUGGCAUUUUGUUGUCUCCUGGAUCUUUGUUCUUUUCCACUAUUAUUGAGGACUUUCUUGAAGACUAAGCGGUUCUUUUCAAUUUUUGGGUAUUCAGAAAGGGUUGCCUGGUUACAGAGAAUGGGGAAAUCUCGGGCUAUAUCGGGUAAGAUGUGCCACAGACAGCAAUAUCACAAUGCCACUCGGAGAAAAGGAUGGAUACAAGUUAACGAUGCGCUUUCAAUAAAACAUUCAUAGACUUGUUCA